rnacentral:rRNA from 1 species
GGGGGGGGGGGGGGGGGGGGGGGGCGCGUGCAGGGCGGGGGGCGGCGCGGGGUGGCUGGCGGUCUGGGGGGCGAGGGGCGCACGGGUGCGGGACGCGUGUGCAACUUGCCCUAUACAGGGGGAUCACCCGUCGAAAGACGGACUAAUACUGCGUAUGCUCACAACUUGGCAUCAAGUGGUGAGGAAAGAAAUUCGGUAUAGAAUAGGCAUGCGUCCCAUUAGCUUUUUGGUGAGGUAACGGCUCACCAAGGCAACGAUGGGUAGGGGAACUGAGAGGGUAAUCCCCCACACUGGUACUGAGACACGGACCAGACUCAGACGGGAGGCAGCAGUGAGGAAUAUUGGUCAAUGGGCGCGAGCCUGAACCAGCCAAGUCGCGUGAAGGAUGACUGUCUUAUGGAUUGUAAACUUCUUUUAUACGGGAAGAACAAGAGUCACGUGUGACUCCCUGCAUGUACCGUAUGAAUAAGCAUCGGCUAACUCCGUG